AAAAGAUCAACUGUUUUAGCCAGGAGAAAGCUUGCUUGAGGAUAAACCAGGUAUGUGACAGGGGAAGUCAAAUUCCCGAACCUCGUAAAACCAUCUACAUAUUCACUUUCAAGUAAAAAGUUUUUCACUGCUUAGUUUCAUCAAAUAAGCAGACCAAAACUUAACACUAACAAACACUCAAUGGUAUUCUCUUGUGAGAAAGAAGAAGAAAAAUAUGAUUACAUCAUAUAAUGGCGUAAAAGCGAGAAGAAUAUAUUUAGUGAAAGUAGUACCUAAUGGAUGGUUUUCAAGCAGUCUCACAAGACAUUGAAGCUUUGAUUCUCUCAACAGUGCAAGCUAUUAGAUUGUUGACAGUUGCAACAGAGCCAAGAGACAGCUUAGCCGUAGGAACUGAGUCAACCAGAAUCUGAAAAGCAACAGUCAAGAGCGACCCUCCAUCUCCUCCAGGGGCUCCACUAUUGGCAUUACCAUCAGGAAGAAUAGCAAAACCUGAUGGAAGCAGAGCCACAUAGUCUGGAUCACCUCCAUUAAGCACUAUGUUCAUAGCUACAAUAUCGACUGGAGCAUAGAUCACAAAGGAAGCUGUAGGAUCAGUGCAGCUCUCUUGUAGGAUCAGCAUAUUGCUCUGGCUAGAGUUUGCACUCUGUGACAUAAAGAAAGAUUGAAAACUCUUAGCUAGGAUCAGAUGAUUAUAACAAUAGUUCAAAACCCGGUGUAACUCACAUUUACCCGAAGAAGAGAAACACAGUUUCCGGUAUCCCUCCCGUUAGCAAUAUGUGCCAUUUCUUGCACAACUCCUCCAUUAGACAGAAUAUCCCACUGCAAAAUCUCACAAAAACAUCAAAACUCUGUCCAAAACAGAACAAGAGAGCGUAGUAACUAAAAUAGUUACCUCAUUUCUUGAAUUCUCGUCUCUGAGGAAGUCAAAGACUCGCUUUGGAGGAACAGGGAUCCAAAAAGAAGUGGCUGCACUAAGAACAAUACCAGGAGGCCUUCCUGGAUCAUCCACACUCUUCCUAGUCAUCACUCUAACAUCUUCAGCUCCUGUACCGGACAAUGUAGUCCACGUGUGAGCGGUUGAAGCACUCACUCCUGCACAAAAGCUUAUAACCAUCCGCUCUGCCAAUUUCAGCAUACUCCUCCUCCCUUCUUGGUUGGUUAUCACUGCAUAUUCAUUAAUAUAGAACUGUGAUUCUGACUCUGACUCUGAUUAUGAAAACUGUUUAUGAAACAAACAGUAGGUUAUACCGCCAACUUCUCCAGAGGAAAUGUUUGUAGCCAUGACACUAGCUAACCGCUCGCAUUGGCGGUCAAGAAUGGCUACCCAGCGUUUAGCACCAAAGGCAUGACCAGUACUAACCAUGUGUUUGUAUAAGUUAUGAACUCCUCUGUCAUCAACUUCCACAUGCUCCACCCAAGUCACCUGUUACAUUAAUUCUCUCUACUUAAGUAAACAUUUUG